rnacentral:rRNA from 1 species
GAUGAACGCUGGCGGCGUGCCUAAUACAUGCAAGUCGAGCGAACUGAUUAGAAGCUUGCUUCUAUGACGUUAGCGGCGGACGGGUGAGUAACACGUGGGCAACCUGCCUGUAGGACUGGGAUAACUUCGGGAAACCGAAGCUAAUACCGGAUACGAUCUUCUCCUUCAUGGGAGAUGAUUGAAAGAUGGUUUCGGCUAUCACUUACAGAUGGGCCCGCGGUGCAUUAGCUAGUUGGUGAGGUAACGGCUCACCAAGGUAACGAUGCAUAGCCGACCUGAGAGGGUGAUCGGCCACACUGGGACUGAGACACGGCCCAGACUCCUACGGGAGGCAGCAGUAGGGAAUCUUCCGCAAUGGACGAAAGUCUGACGGAGCAACGCCGCGUGAGUGGUGAAGGCUUUCGGGUCGUAAAACUCUGUUGUUAGGGAAGAACAAGUAUGAGAGUAACUGCUCGUACCUUGACGGUACCUAACCAGAAAGCCACGGCUAACUACGUGCCAGCAGCCGCAGUAACAC